rnacentral:rRNA from 1 species
GAUGAACGCUAGCGGCAGGCCUAACACAUGCAAGUCGAGGGGUAACAGGAAAGCUUGCUUUUGCUGACGACCGGCGCACGGGUGCGUAACGCGUAUGCAACCUACCUCAUACAGGAGAAUAGCCCUUGGAAACGAGGAUUAAUACUCCAUGGUAUCAUUUUUUCGCAUGUUAAAAUGAUUAAAGAAUUUCGGUAUGAGAUGGGCAUGCGUCCCAUUAGCUUGUUGGUGAGGUAACGGCUCACCAAGGCAACGAUGGGUAGGGGGCCUGAGAGGGUGGUCCCCCACACUGGUACUGAGACACGGACCAGACUCCUACGGGAGGCAGCAGUGAGGAAUAUUGGUCAAUGGAGGAAACUCUGAACCAGCCAUGCCGCGUGAAGGAUGACGGCCCUAUGGGUUGUAAACUUCUUUUAUAGAAGGAAGAAACUUGUCUACGUGUAGACUACUGACGGUACUCUACGAAUAAGGAUCGGCUAACUCCGUGCCGGCG